GCAGAACAUGCAGUCGAAGGCAUUCGCACUCGUAACGCGAAGGUCGCAGGUUCGAUUCCUGUCCCCUGCACCA
rnacentral:tRNA from 1 species